rnacentral:snoRNA from 1 species
UGUGUAUGACGACACCUCAGUAAUGCUGCAGACUCUACAGCAUGCAGUGAGGAAGCCAAUCUUGGAGAGCUCAGAGUAAU